CGGCACUGUUCACACGUGCAGUACGCGGGACCGGUGCCCAAGGUGUAUAGAGUGUGCGGUGAGCCUUUUUGUCGCUGUCGCUGUCAUCCGGCAUUGAACGAGUGCAUGUGUGUGUGUGGGUGCGUGUCGGAUUCCUGUGUGAACAAUGGGAGUCAAAACAAAACAGUUAACCACCAGCUCGCAAUGAAGCCGACGAAAGGAAUGGAAUCGAUGAAUGGGAAUCUGGUACUCUUGGCAUUCCUGGAAUUUAGCAAGGAAUUGUAGAGUUCCGGACCAGCACCGAGAAUCGAAUCCCACCUUGAUACCGUCUCCCCGUACGCAAGACCGGUAAUCCUUGCUAGGGUUAAAACAUAUAGUCACAGAAAGCCAGAAACGGCAGGACUAGACGGAUAGAGCAUGCAGAGCCUGGUAGCUGCAGACGAUAUCACAGAGAGCUCGUUGGUCAAAUCUGUAUCAGAGCUUCACCUAUUUUGGGGAGAAAAUUCAGUACCCACAUCUAUACGGAUGCUGCUGCUUCAAGGAAGCUUCAAGAAAUCCUUUGCAUCCUGAGAUACUGUAUCAAACCUGUUAGUUCGAUAACGAACCGUUGUUGAACCGACCACGCGAAGGAGUGAUCGAUUCGGAGAUCUCCGCGCAGAUUCCUGGCCUUGUCAGAGUUGCUUGAAUCAGGCGGCUGACCUUUUUUCCUGGAAAACCAGGAGAAGUUUUUAGCGGCGGACUCGCACUACACUAACUCGGCGUGGACAACGGGAAUGCCGUAGCUCGAUCAGACGAUUAGCCUUUUUUCCUGAAUAACCAGGAGAAGUUUCUAACCGUGGUUCUUGCUUGGCUUAAUUUCGCCUAAUUCUUCCGACGGAGUGGGGAGGCACCAAAGUGCGUAACCAAUUUCCGGAGGGAAGGCAAAGGUGAAACUUUCCCGCUUCUAUACCCAAACCCAAACAAACAAUGAAACACAAGUUUCUUCGUUGAGGUUUGGAUUACAAGUCGCUUUUAUUCUCAAAAAAUCCUGUCUUAUAUACUAAAAUUCCGUGGGAAAAAGAACAUGAAAUAGCAUUACAUCGAUCUCAUUUAUUCUAACUCGGUAUGCCGAUGCGUUUGAUCCCUGCCUGACGUCGGCUAGUGUAGGAGGUCUGUAACGUUACAAUAUCUGGCGAUUGUUACCCUAUCGUUUUAUGACCAUGGGUAACGCAUCGCGCAUCUGUGGUUCAAGUGCGUAUGUUUAUUUUCCUAUUGCCUAUUGCCUGCGCGUCGUUUACUCUAUUCGUCAAGUUGGUCUUUCCUUCACUGCCCUACGACCGUGCCUUGAUCUUCGCGCAGGUCGUUGUUUCGUGAAACUAAUCGCGCAACGAUAACGUAUGCGUUGGGUUCUAGCGUUAACCUUUUUCGGCCUAUGUUCUUCACUUUCGUAUUUAAUUACAUGGCCUGAGUUUACGAUUACCAUAUGUCGAGAUUUGUCCCUUUUUCGAGAUAUUUCCAAUAACGCAUCAUAAUCUUGUCGCUCUGUUAGUUUAGGGUUUUUUCCUAAAAUAAUAUUUGCCGGUGAUAGUUUAUCCUAAACAAAGACGUUUAUUAAUUUUCCAUCUAAUCCUCGCAUGCCGUUAAAUCUAGCUCAAUUCGUCGCGUUGGUAACAGAACCAAAAGUGCGCAACGUAACGCGACACAAGUUUUUUGCGCCAAGAACCUUAAGUUCUUGUCUCCAUGCGGAACGUUAAUGUAAGCUAAUUUUUAGACCAUGCUGUUCAACGAACAAACAAACCAAGACUUAUUCGAACUAACAAACAAUAACAAUAAGUCCAUCCAUCCAAACGAAAUUCGACACUUUUUUACGACAAAAGCUUUAUGCUCUUGUCGCCAACCAGAAAAAAAACUAUUAGGCAAUGUAACCAUACAGAUAGGAAAAGUUAUUUUAACGUGAGAGUUGGUUCUUGGCUAGACUUGAUGCAAAUCAAAACCUGACGUCCAAAUCCUUUCCAGAGCUUUGGGAGUCCCCCAACCCAAGGUAAGGUCUCAAAUCUCCGACGAGCCAGUAAGGGAUGUUCCCUCUGAAUAUCUAGAGUCGCCCGGCCGACUCAACGCCGAUGAGCUUCGAGUGUCCCCCUACCAAAGGUAAGGCCUCGAUAUCUCCAACAAUCCAGUAAGGAAGAUUCUCAUCUAGAACCUUCACGAUUGCCUCGACAGUCGAUAAAAGGAAGAUUUGGUUCGGAUAGCAAGUUGUCGUUUGUCACUCUCGUCGAAACCCAAAUGAACCACGUAAGUACGGCGCGACUCAAAUCGCAUAUGCGCAAAGCCCCGUCGACCGAUCCCGCAUAUUACAAUACACCUCUGAGAUUUGGACACUUUCCAGAAUUAUCCAAGAUCCUUCUUAGCAGCGUUCGAAAGCCGUCAAAGGAAGAGGUGGUACAAUGGCGGGCAUUAUGAGCUGCACGAUAAUCUCCUUAUCGUGCAACGAAUUAGAUUCGCUGGGCUCCAGUAGACUGGCCUUGGUUGAACCACCCCGUAAAGUCCUUCUAGGUCAUCCACAUACACAGAGAUCUUAUAGCAGGUUCAUGGUGAGAUGAAGCGAUGGCGUUGAUGUGUCCGCCAGCAAGACCAGGAUAUUGGAUCGACAGACGACUGGAAGCCAAGACUUCUAGGCGAUUAUAGGAUCUGAUAAUUAAGUUUGCGUGGGAGGAUAAUGUAUCAGCAUUCAAUCAAGAUGAGAACGGGACCGGGACGACUCUCCACGCAACGUUUCUGAAGGCCAUCUAAAGUUGGCGUACCAAAUUGAUGCGUUAGUGCGAUGCGAAUGAUAGUGUAUAAAUCUGCUGGUAAGGUCCGGGUAUUGGAUUGGCUGACGACGUUGAGCGUCAUCAAGGACUUCUACAGCAUGCCAACUCCGUGAAGCAAUAAGAAUGCGUGGAAGGACAAUCUUAGCGUGAUGAGAAUGGUACCGGACCAUCCAGCAUAGAAUGAAGGCAUUGGUGCAUUCACCAGAAUGGCUGGACGAAGGCCUGAACGUGACUGGCAACGGAGAUUCCUGGAAGCGGUUGUGUUGCCUUAUACGUAGGAUUGCGUAGAAGGACAAUGAAUGGCGUUCUUAUUGAGACGAGAAAGGAACGAUCCAGCCCACAACAGAGAAAAGAGAUCCCAUUUUGAGAUGGAAUGAAGGUGGUGGCUAUCCACCGGAAUCGUCCGGAUGUUGGAUUGGCAGAUGACGACGAAAUACAUUGAACGACAUCGAGAACUUUUAUAGUAAGCCAGGCUUCUAUAGUGAUACGAUUGUAGCGUCUGAUAAGUAGCCUUCUAUAAGAAAUCCAUCCUGGCCCUUAUCGCUUGUGA